UACAGAGGUCUCAAGCGUUGUUCGGAUUCAUUGGGCGUAAAGGGUGCGUAGGCGGCGCGGUAAGUCGGGUGUGAAAUCUCGGAGCUUAACUCCGAAACUGCAUUCGAUACUGCCGUGCUUGAGGACUGGAGAGGAGACUGGAAUUUACGGUGUAGCAGUGAAAUGCGUAGAGAUCGGGAGGAACAUCAGUUGCGAAGGCGGCCACCUGGACCAGCACUGACACUGAGGCACGAAAGCGUGGGGAGCAAACAGG
rnacentral:rRNA from 1 species